GAUGAACGCUGGCGGCGUGCCUAAUACAUGCAAGUCGAGCGAACGGACGAGAAUCUUGCUUCUCUGAUGUUAGCGGCGGACGGGUGAUUAACACGUGUAUAACCUACCUAUAAGACUGGGAUAACUUCGGGAAACCUGAGCUAAUACCGGAUAAUAUUUUGAACCGCAUGGUUCAAAAGUGAAAGACGGUCUUGCUGUCACUUAUAGAUGGAUCCGCGCUGCAUUAGCUAGUUGGUAAGGUAACGGCUUACCAAGGCAACGAUGCAUAGCCGACCUGAGAGGGUGAUCGGCCACACUGGAACUGAGACACGGUCCAGACUCCUACGGGAGGCAGCAGUAGGGAAUAUUCCGCAAUGGGCGAAAGCCUGACGGAGCAACGCCGCGUGAGUGAUGAAGGUCUUCGGAUCGUAAAACUCUGUUAUUAGGGAAGAACAUAUGUGUAAGUAACUGUGCACAUCUUGACGGUACCUAAUCAGAAAGCCACGGCUAACUACGUG
rnacentral:rRNA from 1 species